GCUGCAGAGAGCUCUAUCGCGUUUUGACAGUGGUUAUUGUCGAAAUGAGGAAAAUCCGGACAACGUAGAGCACCGUACCAUCUAACGGAUGGGUCCUGACUUCGGUCGGGAACAGAUAGUGUCGCAGAAACUAUACCGCCUUGAUUAUUCAAGGUAAGGGUGAAAACGUGCGGUAAGAGCGCACGUUCUGACAUGGCAACAUGUUAGAAGGAUAAACCUUGCGGGUUGAAAUGCCAUGUACAUUUCGCCCAGUCUGAAAGGCUGGUUGGACGGCUCGUCUAAUAGUGAAAACUGGCGGAAGGGGUAGGCAGAUGGAUCCCUCCUGUGAAGGGGGGGCUAGAUAAAUGAUAGAGGAUCGUCUGAGACGAUCACAGAAUCCGGUUUAUAUCUCUGCGGCUAUU
rnacentral:RNase_P_RNA from 1 species